UACAGAGGUCUCAACCGUUGUUCGGAUUCAUUGGGCGUAAAGGGUGCGUAGGCGGUCGCGCAAGUCGGAUGUGAAAUCUCAGGGCUCAACCCUGAAACUGCAUUCGAUACUGCGUGGCUAGAGUGCUGGAGAGGAGACUGGAAUUUACGGUGUAGCAGUGAAAUGCGCAGAUAUCAGGAAGAACACCCGUGGCGAAGGCGGUUCUCUGGGACGGUACUGACGCUGAGACGCGAAAGCGUGGGGAGCGAACAGG
rnacentral:rRNA from 1 species